rnacentral:miRNA from 1 species
UUGGUCCCCUUCCCCCCG